UAAGGGUAUCAUUCCCCGAAUAAGACAAAACCCUCAGUUCUCAAAUAAUUACAUCAAAUACUUAUCAAGAGAAUCGAAUUCAAAUUAUAUAUGAGAUAUCCCUUCAGGUACUAAUCACUCAAUACAAGCGCUUUCUUUGGCCUCGAGUCUUGUGGAAAAAAUUAUUUUUGGGGGUCACUAAUUAAGUUUCAGAACUUCCACUUCCAAACCUGUUAAGGAAAACAAAUUGGGGUGAGCUAACGCUCAGUGAGGCCAAGGGAAAAACAUGCAAGCAUGCUAGCAAAGAUACAAUAUAAAGCAAUAACUCGAGUAACCAAUAACUGCGAAACAUUAAGCAAUUAGAGAAUUUAAUCACAAUAAAAGGAUACGGGAGCUCUCAGGAGCUAAUCCACGCGCGAUCCAAGCUCAGGUAGUUGACCCUCCGUCAACUUUCACAGUUAUCCAUGUAGAACUCCACUUACUACCUCCAGCCACCAUGACACCCUCUUGGAUCCGUAACCAAAAAUGCAUGUAGGUGGUAUCACUUAACAAGUAUACCUAGCAAGACCCCUUAUUUGGAUCAAGCUAUAACACUUCCCAAGAUUCACCAAGUUUCUCGACCAAGCCCUUGCCGGCUCGAGUUACAAGGCUAGCCAAUGGGUUGGGGCGUCCCCCCCAUUCACUUUUAGGUCGAUGAGACGAAACUCCAAUCGACAAGAUUUGGUCAUAGCAUUGAGACGGGAUGAGCGGUACCUCCUACCCUAAAAGGGCAUGAUACAUUCUGCCGCUCAAUGCUCACGAAAAACACUUUCAUUUGCAUUCACAUGUAACACGUAUCACUUAUUAAGCAAGCAAUUUCAUGAAAGAGAGGACAAGGGCGAUAAAGUACGCCCUAGCCUCAUUAACUAGCAAGUACAAGAAUCAUUUCAUUUAAACACUUCACAUGCACUUGAUACUCACCAAGUAUCAAAAGUCAAAGUUUGAGAAAUUAGCUCUAAGACGCUUCGCCGGGAGUUCCCUCGAAGUCCUCUUGAGAUCCUGAAAGUAUGCAAUAAUGCAUUGUAUCUCAAAUUCCAGGCCAUACAGUAUUCGUGUAAAGAAAAGAAAUUGUCAAUUUUGACUCCAAAAUUCAAGUUUCCAAAGUAUUUCAGUUCAUAAGGAACCGACUUUCAAAUGAGGUCUCAAGUGAUAGGUAAACUCAAGUUCACCAUGAAAAUAGGUUUGAAAUGCUCUAAGAGUUGUAAAAAUGUAACCUAGGCCCUUAAAAGAACAUUUAGGUCCAAAUUGGAAAUUUUCACUUUUCGAGUCAUUCUUGGAAAAAUCAGUCCGGAAGUUCGGAAAGUCUAAAAAUGGAAAAUUUUACACCGUCAAAAACUUCAUUCGAAGCAUAACAACUUUACAGAAGGUCACUUUCCAAGAAUCAAAUCAGAAACAAGUCAAUUUCUCCAAGAAAGUUUACUAUGCAUUGAAGAUAGGUCAAAACAGUCCAAGUUUUCCAAUAAUUUUGGAAUUUCGUUAAAAAUCAUAGAAUCAAAACUAGCCUUUGAAAUUUGAUAUGCAUGUAAAUUUCCAAUCCAGGUUUCAAAUAAAAAAAAAAUGGAACUCGAUUCCGAUGUUCCUAGCUCAAGAAAUAAAAAGUUGAAGUUCGCAAAAUUCCUGGACUGUUGGCCUUUCCAGAAAUUUUCCAGAUUUAAUGCACUUCGCUAAUUAGGCCGUAUCUCACUCGAUUCUCAGUGAAAUUGAAAACGGUUGGUGGAUUUAGAAACUAGGUUUACAAGGCUAUAUAUGUGUAGAAGAAAUCAUUUCCAAAAUCCAGACAUAAGUGGUUCAAAAUCAAGCAGAAAAUGGAUUUUCUGGACAGUCUCGGAUGAACAGUAAUAAGCAGGCAGCCAACUUUCAAAACUCGCCACGAAUCGCUCGGGAUGAACUAGAAAAUGAGCUUGGUACCAUUUUAAAGCUCUAAGAGUCUACUUUCAAAUGCUGCAAAUGGCAGUCCAUUUCGAUCAACGAGCAAAACGUUAUAGCUACACAAAUGUUGCUGGUCAGAAAAUUCUGGAGCUUGUUCCAGUUUUGCUUCUUUACUUGUAACUCAAAAUUUAACCAACCAUUUGGGUUGAUUUUUGGUAGACAACCACAAUACACAUAGCACAACAUAUCUACACCAAUUUGGAAGCUCAAUUUGCACCAGAAAAUUUUCGAAAUUACAGGGCAGCAAACAAGAAAGUCGGCAGCAAGUCAGAAAUUUCAGACAGUACCUUUCCAAAUUUCUAACUUUCUUCCAACUUCAUUCCAUCAAUCAUUCUAUAUACAUGUAACAUAGCACAAUAUCAGCAACCAAAACAUGUUAAUUCAUCAAAUCAGCCACCAAUAAGCAUCCUCAAACCCUCGAGCAUGUCAUGAAAUUGCAAGAACAUAAUUACUCAACCAAUCAACCCAAAUUCUACCAUAGGUUGCAAACCCAUGCUACCUUUGCUCCAUUUGAGCUAUAAUUUUGCAAGAUUGAAGUGUGGGUGAGUGAGUUACCUCAAAACUUAGUUGGACAGCUUUAGACAGAAAUCUUGACCGAAAUUCCUCCAAGAAAACCGAUGAACAGCCCCUCUUCCAAGCUAGGAUCAAAGCCCUCUAAUGGAUGAUGAAAUUUGGAAGUGGAUUGAAGGUAAUUUUGUAAGGAUUUUGGCUAGAUUUUUCUUCCCAUCUUCUGCCCAAUAGAGAGUGACGAGAGGAGAGAGAAUGAAAUCAGGUAUUGUAAUGAAAGUGGAGAGAAUUGGAGCCUUAAGUCUAAGUGUCAACUCAUGCUAGGUCUGUUUAGGGUCUUCGCGUGUCCAAUUUUCGCGCUCGUUUGCAACUUUUGUGCACUAAACCUCUGAGGUAAUUUCCCUAGUACAUUAAUAGACAUUACUAGUAGUCUAAUAUCAUGUUCUUAAAAUCUCCAAUUAAUCAAAUUAAUGUGCCUGUCGGGGCCUUUUCGGCACGCGCGCGUAUAAAGGUCAAACUUAAGGGUUUUUCGUUUGAACUUGGAAAUUCAACUUAUUCGAUUCUAAAACUCUAAAAUAUGAUAAUCCAAAUAUAUAUAUAUAACAAUAAAAAUCACGAUAAGCAAUUCAUCUUGAAUAAAUUUGGGCAUUAAAAUAAUAUACGCGUAAAGAACCAAUCGGUAAAAUUUAUUUUCGAGAAAUUCAUGUACUUUAGUAUUUUUUUUUUGGGUAACUCGAGUACGAAAUAUUUUUAAAAUGACCAAUUUAACAAUAUUUUGAAAUAAUAAAAUUAUGGGUCCUCACAUCCUCUCCCCCUUAAGAGAAUUUCGUCCUCGAAAUUCAUACCUUAACUCAAAAACUCCAGAUGUCACUUUUGCAUCCCAUCUUACGAAUUGUAAAACUUUUCCGCAUUAAAUAUCACGUAAGUCUUGUAUUCUUAAUCUGUUCACGACGAGCGAGAUAACAAUUCCUUCAUGCGGUUCACAGAUUCAAUUGCCUUAAGAAAUUUGUCAAUUCAAGAACAAAUGAUGUAAUAGCCCUUUAAAUUGGUAUACGCAAUGAACUUUAAAUAUCUCGCAGAUCAAAUUCGAUAAGAUCUUAUUAGCACACAAGUUUUGUCCUACUGGACCUUAACCCUAGUAAUCUUUCAAAAUAGAUAGUAAGAGCCCUCAAGAAUCAAUAACUUCAAAAAUCAUAUCUGGUUCCGUAUACAUGUAUGCAAAUAUCGAAGUACGAAAUGAAACCUUACAUUCAAUAAUAUCUUAUUGUAGUCCCCAAGUCAUUUAUGAGUAUUACUGCCAAUUUUUAACCCAAAUACGACUUAAAGACCCAAAUCCAUUAAUGCUACUGGUGUAUUCAUUACUCCCAAUGGCAUAAUUGAAUUUCAAAGUGCUUACUUUUCUGAUGAACUAGCCUUAAUCAUAUCUUCCUCUAGAAUCCUCAAUUAGUUGUAGUCCUGUAUUAAAUCUAACUUGGAAAGUACUACUGUCUCUUGUAGAUACCAAAUGAUUCAUUUAUGCAAGGUAAAAGAUAUUUAUUCCUAAUACCCACUUGAUUCCAGCUCGAUAUUAUAGACAUGGCCUUCUCACAAGGUUAUAAGCGUAACAAAAUUUAGAUAUACGAAUAAGUCAUGAAAUUGAUUAAAUGCAAAGUAAACUUUCAUUUGCUAUAAAAGACCAUAAUAGUUUCAUCAAGUUAAGCUCGACGAGUUGUCGAGAUUAAAAAAAUAAUUAAUUUGUUUUUAAAAAAUAAAUAAAAUAGUAAUUUUUCUUAACAAAUAAUAAUUAUUAAAAAAAUAUAUGUAAUUUUACUAUUAAAAUAAAAAAAUAAUAAUAUAUAAUCGAGUACAAGCCAGCUCGCGAACUAACUAGUUUAGUAUUUUUGAACUCAAUUUCGAGUUCAAAUUCGACUUGAUCGUCUCGAUCUCGACUUGAGCCGCUAGCAAUCGGCUCGCAAGCGGCUCAAUUCGUUUACAACCCUAAAAAGAAUGGCUGAUAACAAAAUCUUGUAUUGAAAAAUUGGAAAUUAUCUUAAAUUUUUCAUUCAUAAGCUCUCUGUUUAUAAAGCAAAUAAGAAACAAACCAACAUAAUCCUCUACUAUCAAAUCUCAACAAAAGAUACCUGCAAUUCCACAAGUAAAACUAGUCAAAAGACACUAAAUAUGGAACUACUCCUAACAACUAGAUUUAUCCAACAACUAAUUCGUAUAUUCAAGUAUCAAAAAUUUAUAGUGAAGUCGUAUAAUUAUAAAACUCCUUGCUAUUUUUGUUGUAGAUUAUGAAUAGUCUUCUCAAAUCUUCAAACCUUGUUUUAGAUAAGGCUUUUGCAGAAUAUCUGCAAAUUGAUGAUUAGCCUUGUAAUGAGCCACUUCCAAACUAAGUGAUGAUGCUUUUAAUGUAUCUAAAUAACCUCUACAAAGGUUCAAAAUAGAACACUUUCUACAACAUUUAAACCUGAACAGAAAACUUGUAAGGCGCAAUAUAGUUGUUGUGAGAUACAUAAAAACAACCCUUAAAAUUUUUGUAUGAUUCUUUAUAAACUUUGUCACCACCAUCAUGUUUGGAUUUUUCUCUUCAAUUGCCACAAUGCAGUCUAAAUUUUUUGAAGGUUCUUAAAACUUGUAAAUUCAAAAACAGAAAAAUUACAAUCUUCAUAAAUGUCAAGAAUAAGUUUGAUACAUCCUUCCAUCAAUUUAUCAAUCUCCUACUGAAAUUCUUUUGGGAUUUGAAUUUUUUAUCUCGUAAUGUUGUACUCCAGAAUUGUCAAAAGUUGACUAACUUAAAGAGAAAUCCACCUUCGAAUUACCAAAUGCUGACCAAUUCACCGGAAAUUUUUCUCUAUUCAUUUUUAUUGAUAAAAGUUAUUCUCAAUUGGAUAAUCAAUAAUACAAGCCAUUAUUCUUAUGAUAACGAUAUCAAAAAAUGAUGUGUGAAUGUUGGCCUUAGAUCUGUGUCUAACUGCAACAGUGUGACAUCUAAUUUGUGUAUCUAUAGGAUCCUCAAUUAGUGCUAAAACAUGAUGUGUCUUCACCAUAUUUCAUAGAUCACUAACUAUCAAAUAAGUCCAACGUUUUACAACCUAAAUUUGAUAGUUUUCGCCAUAAUAAUUAGAGGGUUAGACAAAAAGUUCUUUCUUGUCAUGGUUUUGAGCUAACAAUGGAUCUUCACCAAUUACAUACACUGUAAAAAAACAACACAAUCCUUCAAAAUAUAGGUUCUUGAUACCAAUUUGUUGGAAGUUAGAACGUAAACUAAAAAAGAUACUUGCACUUAGUGCCGUAAUAAAGCCCUGUAUUGAAACACUGGAAACACCUUAAAUUUGUCAUUCAUAAACUCAUUAUUUUUAGAACAUGUCUUUUGCUAACAAAUCUCAACAAAAGAUACUUGUAUUUCAAAAUAGUUGAACUAGUUAAAAAACACUAAAUGUGGAACUACUCCUAACAACUAGGGCUCUAUUUUGGCACCCUUAUUUUUAGAGGUGUUUUUAAUAGAUAAGUUUUUAAGCUACUUCAUCUACAGAAACUCCCUAAAAACACUACAAAAUUUUUAAAAUACACAUUCCAAAAUACCCCAAGCACGCACCCAAUUCUCUCAUUUACCAUCACUCUCCCUAACCAUUUUCAUUUCCACUACCACUACCCCCACCUCAGCCUACCCAUUUUCCCAAAUACUCAAAUACACAAAAAUUUUUGUAAAACUUUAACAUUAAGGUACAGUAAAAUUUUAGACAAAUUUCCAAAAAACACACUAUUCAAACAUACUUUAGAUUUAUUCAACAACUAAUUCAUGUAUUCUAGUACUAAAAAUCUGUAGUGAAGUUGCACAAUUCCAACACUAUUACUGUAAGAAAAAUAUAUUCAUUUUUGUGGUCAGGUUUGUUGGGUCAUACUGGCCAUUGCAAGUAUUGUAAGCACAAUCAGGUUAUAUAGUUUUGUGACAAGUUGCAAGUAUUAUUUAUGUUUGAUGGUAAAUCCCCAGCAUUUCGGUUUGUAAUUCCAUUUUCUCAUUAAUUUGUGAAUUUCUCAGGACUCCGCAGGUUCUUAACUGCUCUAAUGGAUUAAAAAGGCCAUUCAUAUAAUUUGCCUCGAGAAGGUGCUUACCUACGAAAGAAAUUGAGGACAAAAUUUUAGUUGCAAAGUAGUUGGUAAGGGGUCACAAAUUCUUCAGGAAAAAAGAAUAAUGAUUAACAAUCAUUUUGUACUCUACCCAAAAGAAAAAAAAAUCUAUUUAGAAAAAUAAAAGUCAUCAUUUUUCCCUUUUUUUUUGGUCCCUCUUGUAAUGAAACAGGGAAGCAUACUUUGCACACCAUGGUUGAUGGAAAUUUAUACCAAGCUAUGUUAUUGUUAGCUACCUAAUUGUUAAAGUGCUAUUAUCUUAAUAUUUUGUUCCUAAAGUUCUAGGCAGUCGGAUACAAGUCAAGUUCGAAAACCACGUGAUUAGUCUAUUUCCUUAUCAUUAUAUAGAGUUCUUAGUGAAGGGGUAGGAACGGUUGCAGGAUCCUGAAGAUUCAUGGUUAAGAUUUGGUUAAGAAAAAUGUAAGAUCCAGAUUGUAUGUUGUUCAUCGUUUUUUACAUCAUGUAUGAAGAUCACAAAAUUUUGUUCUAUAGUUAGACGUUAUUGAAAAUGAGUUACACAUAUGCAUACAAAAUUAUAUAUUGUGCAUUUUAUACAAAACCGACCCGAACGAUUUUCCUGACAACCGUUCGAGCCGUGUCCGUUAGUGAUACGAGUCCAUGACUGUUUUGUAUUCCUUGGUCCAGGUUACCCACCUUUGGUUACGAGGAAAGUUGUGAGUCCAUAAAUAUGUCUAGUGCUAUUACAUUAAUAAUGGAAGCGAGAGUUUGAGAGAAUACUUGAGAAAUUCAAGUUAUUGAGUUAUUUGAGAGAAAUUUGUACCGUGAGUUAGAGAGUAAAAGCUACAGCUUGGUCUGGUUAUUAUUGAGAGUUCAGUCAAUAAAAUUGAGCAUUUACUGGUGUGCUUAUUCUUCUCCUCUUUCUAAAUAUUUUUAUAAAAUUGAGUAUUUAGCCUUUGCAGUGCCUUUUUUUUUUGCAUCAAUAAGUGGUAUUAGAACUAGUUAGAGUCUUGAUGUUUUGCAGAGGCAAAUCUGCCUAAAUUUUGUGCUAGUCUUAAUAUGAGAGUCGGAUGUGUUUUAUGUGUUUGCGAUUCUUAAACUCCUCUUCUCCCACAUAUUUUUAUAUGUGUCGAAUAUGCUUUGCUGUGUGGUUUUAUAUCCCAACAAGUGGUAUCGGAAAUUUGGGUUUUGAUCCUAAGGCCUGUGCUCGAAAUUAAGGCACAAAAUUUGAAAUUUUGUUGUUGACAAUUAGGACACAAAAAUUGGUCCUAGUUGGGUAGAAUUAAAAAAAGAAAAAGAAAAAAGGAGAUCCUACCGUAUGAUCAUUUAGAUUGGAAUGGACAAGAACAGUCAAACAAAAUUAAGUUCAUUGUUGAAAUUGGAUUGGUGACAAUUCAUGGAAUCCAUGAAGUUAACCAGGGGAGAGAUUGUAGAUUAAUAUUCUCGUCAAAGUGGUAAGUUAGUUUUUGAUCUAGUUUAUCCAUUGUGUAGAGUUUUGGCUAAUGGUGGAAAAUUUGGAUGAUGACAACCUGUAUUAAAUAUUAGUCAGGUCACAUGCGUUUGAAACAACCAAUGGAAUGAUAUCUUUGACAAUAUGAUUUAGGACAGAUUCUUUGUGCAUAUUGUACAAACAAAAGAUGAAAGGAAAAAGAAGACAAUAUUGUUUUUCAUCAUCAAAAUCAUCCUCCUCAAUCGCACCAAACAAUGUAUGCAACCGAAAAUCGUUAACCCCUUCAAAAUGUUCAUAAAUUUCUCCAUAAAUUUUUCAACCUGUCUUUAUCAAAGUCUACUUCUCACGUAUCACCAAAUUUUGGAAUGUAACGGAUGGGACUGCCAAAAACGCGAUUCGAGCUGAGCGAGCUAGUCAGGGACGAGCUGAUGGGAGGAAAGCGAGUGAACUGAGCUCAGUCCUAGAACGCGAUCCGAGCUGAGCUGCUACGAACUGAGAGGGAGCUGAUGCGCAACUGAGGUGAGUGAACCGACUUGCAAAGGGAGGAACAGCGAGGCUAGUUCCCCGGAGCAGCUCCGACGGUCAAGUCAAUAAGAGCUUGAGAGUAAAGUAACAGUGGGAAGUGCUGUUGAUGGCGUACCUUGUGUUGCCUUGUGGUGCUGUAUUUAUAGACUUGUGGGUAGUAGUUUCCUUAUAAAAUUAGAAGUCCGACUGGAGAGGGAGUCCUUCUAGGGCUCCAUCGGCUAGCUCCAAAAGGUUUGGAGGCCACGGCCCACCAGGCCCAUCCAGCGGGGAGGCGGUAGCCAUGUGCGAGCUGGCAUCCCUCCUGUUCGAGCUAGUCUAGCCGAACUAACAGGUCACCAUGUCCGAACUGACACGUGGCUCCGGUGAAUUUGCUCCUCUAAAAUAGCCCACCUCUGAAGACUAGAGUCAUCGCAUGGUCGCAUGAAUCUAGUCCUAGUUUGGGGGGACAUGUCAGUUUGACUACACGUGUUCACGAGCGUCGAGUAGAACCGGCUGAGCUGGACGCUUUUUCUCAAGAGGUUGAAGCUCUAAAGAAGCAACUGGUUCAAAUUCAUACAGACCUUGAGGUGGUGACCUGCAAAGAACAUCGCUCUGUCCGCUCAACUGGAGGCCGAACUGAAGAGUCAGCAGGUCAUUACUCAACUAGGGGCCGAACAGAGGAGGUUGGCUGAACUGAACGGUCGGCAGGUCAUUACUCAACUAGCGGCCGAACAGAGGAAUUCUACUCUCUUUGCUCAGAGGCCGAACAGAAGAAGUUCUAUCAUCUCUGUUUUGAGGCCGAACAGAGAAGUUCUACCAUCUCUGUUGUAAGGCCGAACGGAGGAGUUCUGUCCUCUCCGCUCAAUUGGAGGAGCUCGGAUAGAAGAAGUUCUAUCCUCUCUGCUCAGUUGGAGCUCGAAUAGAAGAAGUUCUAUUCUCUCUGCUCAGUUGGAGCUCGGAUAGAAGGAGUUCUAUCGUCUCUGCUCAAUUAGGGGAGCUCGGAUAGAAGGAGUUCUAUCAUCUGCUCAGUUGGAGGAGCUCGGAUAGAAAGAGUUCUAUCGUCUCUGCUCAGUUGGAGGAGCUCGGAUAGAAGGAGUUCUAUCCUCUCUGCUCACUCUUCAGGCAGUUUGCUUCUAUGGCAUUAGCCCUCUCGUGAGCUCGAUCUAGCAUUUCCCGAACUGACUUGGGAGGUUUCUCGACGAACUCGGUGUAUAGCUUCUGCUUACGCAAUCCAUUGAUGAAAGCAGCCAUGACAACUUUAUCAUCCAGGUCCCGGACCUGGAGGGACUCGUUAUUGAACCGCACCAUGUAUUCGCGCAGUGAUUCCUCAGGCUUUUGCUGAAUGGUCAUCAGGUGAACAGUGCUCUUAGAGAAGGCUCGCGACGAAACGAACUGAGCUGUGAACAGUCGCGCGAGCUGGCUAAAGGACCGAAUUGAUCUAGGAGGCAACUCUUGAAACCACUGUCGUGCCUUUCCCUCCAGGAACAUUGGGAAAGUUUUGCACCUAACGGCAUCAGCGGCCGUUUGUAGGCGUAUUUGCGUCAUAAACUCGAACAAGUGGUCCUCCGGAUCCGUGGUAGCGUCGUAAGGUUUCAUGCUUGGUAUUUUGAACUUAGCAGGUAGCGGGUAGUUCUCAAUGUCAGGCACGAAGGGGGAGGCGGUAUACAUGUCUGCUUCUGGAUCCAAUAACAGAUCCAGUUCAUCCUGUACAUGGUACCCUUCUUUCCUGGGAGAGAGCUUCCUCCUUGGGAACCCUUGGAAGGGCUCCGGGUGCUCAGUUCGGGAACUCUUGUGAGAGGGCUCCAUAACCUCGAACUGUUCAUGUGUAAGCUCUUUCUGCGCCCGCUUUGGGCGAGGGUUGGAACUUUCCAUUCUAGACUUUCACAGCCCAACUCCAUCCAUCCUCUGUGUCUUGGACUCCUGGUCGUGAUGGCCUCCUGACUGCCCCUUUAGGUAGUUCACAAUAGCCUCAAAGGUGGGCAGAUUUUUGACUACUGCUUGCACUAGUUGUUCAAGUGGAUUCGCGAGAGCUCUGUCCCGUCAUUCCCCCGCAUGGGAUCCUGACGGAAAUUUUGGGGGUUGCUCUGCUCGUUCUCCUUGGACCCAUCAGCAUUUCUCUGGGAUCUAGUUCUCGGCAUGAUUCGCGAAAGGAAGAAUUACGUUCCCACAGAUGGCGCCAAUUGAUGCGACUGCCAAAAACAAGAUCCUAGCUGAGCUGCUGCGAGCUGAGCGAUGGUCAGGGAUGAGCUGAUGGGAGGAAAGCGAGCGAACUGAGCUCAGUCCUAGAACGCGAUCCUAGCUGAGCUGCUACGAACUGAGAGGGAGUUGAUGCGCAGGUGAGGUGAGAGAACCGACCUGCAAAGGGAGGAACGGCGGGGCUAGUUCCCCGAAGCAGCUCCGACGGUCAAGUCAGUAAGAGCUUGAGAGUAAAGUAACAGUUGAAGUGCUGUUGAUGGCGUACCUUGUGUUGCCUUGUGGUGCUGUAUUUAUAGACUUGUGGGUAGUAAUUUCCUUAUAGGAUUAGAAGUCUAGCUGGAGAGGGAGUCCUUCUAGGGCUCCAUCGGCUAGCUCCGAAAGGUUCGGAGGCCACGGCCCACCUGGCCCAUCCAGCAGGGAGGCGGCAGCCAUGCGCGAGCUGGCAUCCCUCCUGUCCGAGCUGGUCUGGCCGAACUAACAGGUCACCAUGUCCGAACUGACACGUGGCUCCGAUGAAUUUGCUCCUCUACAGUAACCAUAGUGAGGAUUUAUACCUACUAUAAAAUUAAAAAAAAAUAUCUUACAAAAAUAUAUGAGGCACAUGAGAAUGACCAAUAAGUUUCCUAAAAAGCAUCUCAAACGUUGAAAACAAUAACUAGCCACCCAAUACAUAGCACAUAAGAGUUGGUAAUUAAGAAACUACUAAAUAAUUACUCUAUACCUUAAACAAGUAAACUAUUAAAAUUGAACUAUACUUGAACUUCUAAUUUAGGAAAAAGAAACAACAAUUAUUAGGAAGUUUGGUUUAGUUAUGCCAACAAUGCAUCCCUUAAACCAAACUUAUGAACACAUAUCCAUGCCAUCACGAGCAAAAUUCUUCAUUGAAAUCAUUGCACCAUCGUCUUUGUUAAUUAUGACAAUCCAAAAAUUCUUGUCGAUUACUUUGUCUUCAAUUUAGUGGCCUCCUUGGAUAUCAACUGGUAUCAAAUUCUUACCCUAUAAAUCAUCACAUGAAUAAUCUUUCUUACCCUGUAAAUCAUCACAUGAAUAAUUUGACAGGAUUUUUUAAUCUCUUCAAUAUCACUCUUGUAUCAACAACAACAAUAGGAUUUUUUUUUCUCCGAUCACUAUCCAACACCAACAAUAACAUGACAUGAUCUCUCUUUUUGGAUCCCUGUCUUAUUAGAGCCAAAAUUCCCCUAAUUGUCAAAUAACUAUAGUGCUCAAGGACCAAUCUAGUGGCCUAAUUUUAUCUAAUGUUCAAGUACUCUAAAUGUCAAAAGAAAAAUCACACUUUAAAUUCCUAUCACCAUCUCGUUGUGAUGAACACCCGGGAUUAAGGUCUAGAGUUUUGAUACCACUAGUUAGCACUUAAAAUUGCACAACGGCCGCAUAUUUGAUACAUAUAAAAAUAUGUGGGAGAAGAGUAGUUUAAUAAUCAUAAACAGAUAAAGCACAUCCGACUCUCAUAUUGAGACCGGCAUAAAAUCUAGGUAGAAUUGUCAUUUUUUUCCUCCUAAAUCCCAAAUGAGCUCGUGAAUUUAAGGUAGGGAAUCACAGCCUCAGGUUGUCAUCUCUGUUUCUUUUUUUUUUUUUUUUUGGUAAUUUAGGUUGUCUUCCAUAUCACUAAAAUUUACGACCUUAAGAUUUUUCUAACUUGGGCUGAUCUUAUUUCUCAAGUGGAUCUUGAAUGAGCUGAGAUGAUUUAAAAUCAUAGUCUAGCCCAUUAAAGUCAUGGCCCAUUUGAAAAGUCAGCAAAACGUAAGCCUUGUUGAAUGCUCUGUCACUACACUUAUCUAUUUUUUUUUAUUUAUUUUUUUUUGUGCUCACAACAUUCCUAAAGUUGUUUAUGAUUUCUUCAAAAACUUUUGCAACUAAUUACUUAUUUUGUUUUACAAAAAAACCUGAAGAGGCUUUCCUUGUUACUGAAAAACAAACUAAGUAUUACAAUGAUUGUUAGCUUAAAUUAAAAAUUAAGCUAACUCAGUCUAAGCAAAUGAGAACAGAACCUUCCAUUCAAGGCAGAGGAAGGAAUUAUAUGUUACUUUUGGCAAUGGGUUAGGUACCAUAAUAAAGCAUGCUUUGCGUUUAUCAAAGGAUAACACCGAAAGGCCUGCAUGUUUAACCUGAACCGUCAAAUUCUAACGCGGAUGAAUUGAAAUUCACAAAAUAUUGCAAUAUUAAAUUGAUGGUUGGUGGCAGGUGGUGGUAGGUUCGAAAUGCUUCUCUCACUUUCACGUAUCAAGAACAAGAAAUCCUCAUCCGGUGACCACAACAAUGGACCCUAUCAUUAGUCGACUUUAAUAUUAUGAUCAGAUUUAGUUGUUUAGAUCAAAAAGUAUGCUUUAGUUAUGUAUAAUUGAUGUCAAAUUAGAUGCUGGCAGCAUUCUUGCAUUACAGUUCGGAAACAAAAAGGGUCAAAUAUAUAUGGGGGAAGCGAUGUCAUAGAAAAUGCAAAUUUUCUUGCAGUCAUGAAAGGAAUCUCUAAUGCAAAGGAGCUGAUAACAUAAAUGCGGUAUAUUCUGCAGUUACCUAUAAAUACCAAGAGCGCUGACUCAUUCACUGGAAAUAAAGUAAAAUGCGAAUGACAAGAAUUAGGACCAUGAAAUUGUAGAAUCACACUGAUGAAGCACGCCAUCAGGGAAAAGCUUGGAUUCAAAGAGAUUACUCGCCCGAGUCAUCAUCAGAAGAACUCUCCGAUACUUCAUUGGGACGAGAUGCCUCCGAAAUACUUGACUCGCCGAGAACUCGAUCGAGUCAUCGAAAACUCAUCCGAGAAGUCUCCAUCAACGGUAGAACCGGUUGAUUUACACUGAAUCACCCUGAGUCAACUCGUCGAGAUUUUCUUUUGUUAAUUUUACAGAUUUUUUUUGCUAAUCUUUUAUUAUUUUUGUUUAGCAUAAUUUUUUUUAAAAUUAUUCACAAUUCUUAGAAUAUUAAAUGCUUCAAAAUUUGCAUCUCGUCGAGACCGCGACCGAUCUACCAAAACAGAUGUGGAAUGGUCCAGGCCCGCAACCACAAUUGCGACUACGACUUUCAACCAUGCUUGGAAAUCUAAUGUACUUGCAGAAAUUCCUCUGCUAUUAAAACUUGAGCAGAAAUUCCUAUGCCAUCAAAUCUUCAGCAAUUUCUUUGAAAUUUUCCAAGAUUUUGAGUGAUUUGUUGUUUAGUCACUUUUUAAUUGCCUAAACAGAAUAAUAGCACGCAAGAGGGAUAUCUAAUACAAUCUUAGAAAUGAAGGAUUUAGAUAGCAGGAAACUAGAGGUAUGUUAUUCUUUAGAAACUCCCCAUUAGUCAUCUUCAGCCAAUGUUAAUGCUGGAUGAAGUAAUAUUUUGGAUGACAAACAACCUUGAAUAUCUGUAGUUGCUCUCAAUAAGGAACGAACAGAGAACUAAAUGUAUGUUACAUAUAAACUUGAUGCUUUUACACCAAAUAGCAAUUCAGUCCUAAUCAGUGUAAAUGCUAAAGUAAAAUUGAAUGAAAACAUAACAAGGAUAAUAAACCAAUGAUGGAAUUACUGUAAUGUUCCAACCACAUUUCAGUCAUCCAUGUCAAGAAGCAACUUUUCCAUUUUCUUUAACCUCUUCUCCAUUUUCUUUCACCCCUUUGCUCAAGGUUUCUUCUGAACUCUUCACCUCACUGUCACCUUCUUUCUGUUUCUCUUUCUCUUCUUUCUCAGCUCUUAGUCUUUCUUCUUCCUCUGCUUUGAGUUUUGCUUCCUCUUCUGCUUUCAGCCUCGCAUCUUCCUUGGCUUGCUCAAUUGCUUUGAUCAAUCUCUCUAAACAUAUGUCAGCACCCUCUCCAGCAGCCUUUGGCAUCAAAUUUUCUGCAACAUCUGCUGGAGUCACAUUGGUUUCCUCCAACAUAUGUUCAAUCUCGGAAAACAGAUGGUGGGACUCAAUGUCCAAGUAAUUCUUAGCCAAUACCUUGAAUGCUUCAAAUCCACAAUAUGAGAGUUCAAUGUGCUUAUCCAUCCUCCCUCUUCUAAUGAGAGCAGGAUCAAGCUUUUCAACAAAAUUAGUUGUGAAAACAAUAAGCCUUUCGCCUCCUAAAGCUGACCAAAGCCCGUCGAUGAAGUUCAGAAGCCCUGAAAGAGUAACCUGGCUGCUCUUCUUUUCCUCCAUAUUUUUCAUCUUCUUCUUGACUGGAUCUUUUUCUUGCUUUUCUUCCUCAUUUUUAUUUUUCUUCUCUUUUUUCUUCUCCCUCUGCCCCGUAAGAUCAAGGGAACAAUCGAUAUCUUCUAUUACAAUAAUAGCUUUGCCCGAUGUAUCAAUCAGCAAUUUCCUCAAUUCAGUAUUAUCCUUAACUGAAGUCAACUCGAGAUCAUACACAUCAUAAUUCAUGAAAUUAGCCAUGGCAGCAAUCAUUGAGGACUUACCAGUUCCUGGAGGACCAUAAAGAAGAUAUCCUCGCUUCCAUGCCUUGCCUAUCUUUGCAUAAUAGUCUUUAGAUUUGCUAAAAGUGGUGAGAUCAUCAAUGAUUUCUUGCUUCUUCUUAGGUUCCAUGGCCAGAGUAUCAAAUGUAGACGGAUGCUCAAAAACAACACUGCUCCACAUUGUCCUCUUGUACCCAUACCAAUCUUCACUCUUCUUGUUGAUGUACAACUUCCGCUGUCUCUGACUUACAGUGAUAGCUUUUCCCUGAUCCAGCACAUGUUUCAGAUACAUCUUUGUGAUGAUUUCUCGGUGUUUUUUGUGAAAAGUGAGUUUGAAAUAUCUCUUCGCCUCUUCUCUGGGAUAGAAUGAAAUCGACUGGCUGGUAGGAGUGUGUUUGUGAGAAGCCCACCAAAGCUUGAUUCCCUCAUAUUCAUCAGUAACCUCCCCCGCCUCCUGCAUACUCAGGACUAUCUGCUCGCAAUCUUGGAUGACGUUGGCUCUGAGACGGUUUGCUUGCUUGGUAGAGUUCUGAUCAAGGUACCUUUCAAUGGCCAUAAAGGCUUUACUCCGCUGAAAACCAUCACCUUGAUAUUCAGGGAAUAUGAUUUGGAUAUAUGGGGAGAAAAAGCUUCUAAGUUUCUCCUCAUAUCUCUUAAUUUGGCCACGAAGUUCGCCAGGGAAUAAGUUUUGACACAUUGCCCAGACAAACAUUAUGCUCGCCAUAGCUGACCCUAAACUAGCCCACAUUUCCCCCAUGGACAUCAAUUUACUCGCAUUGAACGAAUAAUGACUAUAUUUUGAAGCUGUGGUAAAGUUUUGUUUCAGAGCUAGUUUGCUUUCCUUAUUUAUACGGAGAAAAUCAACUAAUUCUUCUGUUUUAACCAUCUUCUCAGAAGCUACACAUUGUUUUUCCUAGAAAUGAGAUCCAGUUGGGCCAGUCAUCUUGCGAUCCUUUUUCUUCUGUUCCUCGAUUGUUUGGAAAAAAGAGUAUCUUAUUUUGUCUGUUCAGACUAAGGAAGCUGCAGUGGGAAAACUUGGACUUGGCGACGUUUUCUAGUCAAAAAUGUCCCCACCCUUUCCUCCUCAAACGAACCCUUUGACAGCUCCAAACGAAGCCGCUCAGAUUUUGCUUUGCUGAUCAAUGUUUAAAAAACCGAACCGUUAAUUGAACCGGUGAAGUGAAAGGGUCGAGAUUCAAUCGGUCGGACCGAUUCAACCUCGGUUCAAUGAAUUUUUUAAAAAAUAAUUUAUAUAAAUAUAUAUAUGUACAAAAUAAGACAUGUAAUGGACUAAUUUAAUAUUUUAUAUGAUGAAAAGUUUACUAUUUUUUAAUAACUUGGAUUUUUAAAAAUAAAUUUUUUAAAUUAUAAGUUAAAACAAAUAAAUUUUAUCUCAAUUUCAAUUAUAUCUAAAUCCAACCCCAAAAUAUCACAAUAUUUUGAAAUUAUACAAAAUUCAUGUAUCUGAGAAUUUAGAUAUUAUGAAUUUAAAUUUUAAUCUACGUUUUGAGAUUUAGAUAUUGCAAUUUAAAAAAGAAAAUUUGGAGUUCGAAGGAAAUCAAGAAAAUCGAAAAUAGAAAUGUAAACUUGAUAAGAAACAAAAAAUAAAAUAAAAGUGAGUGGUUGUAGCAUUAAAUAAUUUGGGUUAAAAAAAAUUCUUUUUUAACUUUUUUCAAUUUAAUGGACAAAAACAAAAUUAAAAGAUGGAAGAAAACAUUAAUAAAUUAAAAAUAAAGAGGUUUGAUUAAAAAGGAAGUGACAAAAGAAAAGAUGAUAGAGAGAGAGAGAGAGAGAGAGAGAGAGAGUUGAAAAUUAAAAAGAAAGAGCCAUGAGGGGAUGAGAUUUUGUAAGAAAAAUAGAAAAAAGAAAUAUGAGUAUUUGCUUUAUAUAAAUAAGUUAUCAAAAAAAACUAAUAAGAUGUGAUGGUGCAAUGGUUAAUACAUUGGUCUUUUAUUACAAAGGUCUUGGGUUCGAAUCUUGAUUGUUGCAUUUUGCAAAACUAAACUAAAAAAAAAAGGGAAAGCUGAAAAUCGGAAAACUGGCGGUUCAAUCCGGUUCGGCGGUUUUCACGGUUCAACCGGUCUUUGACCGGGUUUCUAGCAAAGUCAACAAUGUCAUUGAACCGGACCGGUGCCAUGGCCGGUUUGCGGUUCAACCGGUCGAACCGACCGGUCCGGUCCGAUUUUCAAAACAUUGUUGCUAAUCGCAAGAAGCAGACCCAUGUUGUUCUUUCUCUUUUUUUUUUUUUUUUUUGUUGUGCUGAUUUUGUUUGCCGUUAACUUUAAUUUCAUCCUCUAUCAAAUAACCAAACACUAGUCAAAUAAAAAAUUAAAUACAUAUUAAAUUAGUAAAUAAAUUUUUUUAUCCAAAUAAAAAGAAAAGGAAAAGAAUAAAUGAAAUUCGUGUUUCAUUUGUUCUUUUCUUUUUCAUUUUAUUUGGAUAAAUCAUUUUAUUUACUAAUUGAAUAUAUAUUUAAUUUUUUAUUAUAAGGAAAUAUUAUUAUUUGUGUUUAAACAAUAUGUAGGGAUUUUAACUCUACAUGCGUAUGCAAAAAUCUAAUUUUCAUCCAAUUUAUAAUUAAAUCUUUAUUCACAAUACUGACAUUUAUUACUUUCAUUAACUAGAUUGUAAACUCUUCCAUUUAUCUUUACACUCCACUUAGUUAAUUCAUCUUCUAUUAUACUUAUGAGUCAUUAUUUCUUUUUAAGAAUAAAAUUGCAAUACUAUGUUUAAAAAGUCCACCCAUUUUCUUUCUUCUUGCUCCUUGCUAUUUUUAUUUCAUUUUUGCUAGGGCCCAUGUAUCUGGAGAGUUCCCAAAUUAUCGGCCAUUUUAAAUGAUGGCCAAAUUUAUAGAGGAGUUAGUAGGUACACAUAAUUGAUUAGACCAAAAAGUGUUAUGACACCAUCUUUGAAUUUUUUUUUUUGCUCCAGGUGGGUUUUAAACUCACCUACAGCCCAAGAAGGGACUGGUGGCCACUGAGCCAAGCUCGGGAGAACACAAGCAAGUGAAUCACAUUCUUAUAUUUUUGUUCCACAAUCAACUGGAUUUCACCCGUUCACUUUUGGCUAUAUUUUUAAAUUUGGACCCGACAUUGAUUCGACUGAGGUCAAGGGUCAACGGAUUGAGAUCGAUUGUUCGAUCGGAUGACAUCAUAAAUAUAUUUUAAUUAUUAUAAAAAUAAAAUAAAAUAGAAAGUUACACCUAAUUUGACAUAUAUGAUGGGUUCGUUUGGAGCAAUCAACAAAUUCAUUAACCACCAGCCAUUUUGGACCGGUAGCCACCGUCAAAGACUUAAAGUCUUGAUGGGUAGGAGGUCAAAGUUUAAAUCUCAACUAUUUUACAAGUAGGAAUAUUCACUUUCCACCGUAGCCAUGACCACAAUGGUCAUGCUUCCCUGUCGUUUUACAAGUGCAUGUGCUUGAGAAAGACAUUCGAGGCCAUUUUAAAAAAUUCUUCCUUCAUGAAGAAGAUUGUGACUUGUGAGGUCAUUCUGCUUGCACCAUUGGUGCCUCCAUCCAUUUAUUUAUUUAGUUUGUUACAUAGGAAGAAGUAUUGGUAUUUGUUACUUACAAAUUAGCAGUUUACAUAUACCAUGGGAACAGAAUCUCCCUGUUAUUGUAAAUUAGGACAGCACAAUUUCUCACAUCCACCAUAGUUUUCACAAACAUUAGAUUGGUGCAUUAUUAUUAUUUUGGGUAGGUAACAAUUGAACUAUACUUGGACUUCUAAUUUAGAAAUAGGAAACAACAACUAUCAGGAAGUAUGGUUUAUGGUUUGGUUAUGCCAACAAUGCAUCCCUUAAAACCAAACUAUCUACGAACACAUUUUCACGCCAUCACAAACAAAAUUCUUCAUUGAAAGUAUUGCACCGUCGCCUUUGUUAAUCAUGAAAAUUUGAAAAUUCUUGCCGAUCACUUUAUCUUCAAUUUAUUGGCCUCCUUAGGCAUCAUCUAGUGUCAAAUUUCUUACUGUUGUAAAUUAUCACAAAUGAUCUGACAGGAUUUUUUUUUUUUUUUCAUUUCUUCAAUAUCACUAUAGUAUCAACAAAAACAAUAGGAUUUUUUUUUAAUCACUAUCCAACCCCACAAAUAACAUGACAUGAUAUCUCUCUUUGGAUCUCUGUCUUAAUUAGAGCCAAAAAUUCCCGUAAUUGUCAAAUAAUUAGAGUGCUGAAGGACCAAUCUAGUGGCCCAAUUUUAUCUGAUGUUCGAGUACUCUAACUCAUCAAAAGAAAAAUUACAUUUUAAAUUCCUAUCACCAUCUCCUCGUGACUCUAAUUUGAUGAACACCCUAGGAUUAAGAUUUAAAGUUUUGAUACCAUUUGUUUGCAUAUAAAAUUGUACAAUGGAAGCAUAUUUGAUACAUAAAAAAAUAUGUAGGAGAAGAAAAGUUUAAUAAUUACAAGCACACGAAGCACAUCCAACUUUCAUAUUGAAACCGGCAUAAAAUCUAGGUAGAAUUGCCAUUUUUUUCCCUCCUAAAUCCCAAAUGAGCUCAGGAAUUUAAGCAAGGGCAAAUCACCGUCUUAGGUUGUCAUCUUUUUUUUUUUUUUUUUUUUUUUUUAGUAAUUUAGGUUGUCAUCUAUAUUACUAAAAUUUACGACAUUAAGAUUUUGCUUACCUGGGAUGAUUUAAAAUCUAGUCUAGCCCAUUAUAUCGUUAGGUGUGAGAUUAGUCAUGGCCCAUUUUUAGAGAAUAUCCAGAGGCAGCCAAAAGUAAGGCCUUGUUGGAUACUCCGUCACUACAGUUAUUUAUUUAUUUAAGUCUUUUUUGUGCUCACAACAUUCCUAAAGUUGUUUAUGAACAUUAUUCGCCAAGAUCAAUGUGAAAAUUUAAAAUUUUUUCAAAAACUUUUGCAACUAAAUACUUAUUUUGUUUUAGAGAAAAAUCCAGUUUUGAUAUCCAAUUUUUGAGGUCUGAGCAGUUUUUAUCCUUAAAAUUUGGACAAAAAUAAAUCUAGUACCUAAUCUUUCAACUUUUGAGUACAUUUAGUACCUUUGAUGGUUUUUUCCCAAAUUGUUACCAAAAAGAGUCACGUGAUAAUCACAUGUUCGGCAACUAUUAUAUUAAAAAUGGCAAAAAAAAUGUAAAAUAUCCUUCUGAUACUAAAUACUUUAGUUUAAGGACUAAAUCUUACAUCUUUUUAGCAUUUUUUUAUGCAAUAGUUUACUAUCAUUUGACGCUUUUCGAUAAUAAUUUGAAAAAAUCCGUUAAGGGUACCAAAUGUGCUCAAAAGUUGAAAAAUUAUGUGCUAAAUUUGCUUUUGUUGAAAAUUUGGAGACUAAAAGCACUCAUGCAUUGUUUGACAACAAACCCAAAUGGGGUUUACCUUUGUUACUGGAAAACAAACUAAGUAUUACAAUCGUAUUGUUAGCUUAAAUUAAAAAUUAGGCUAAGUAAGUGAGCUUUUGUCUCCUUAGUGAGAGUUGCUUUUUCUCUCACUUGGAAAAUGUGUGCUUUUCUCUCUUUCAUGGGAAUUUAAAAUUUCAAAACACGUACUUCUCUGAUACUAAAAUCUUGGCCGGGACAGCAUCAAUACAUUGGAAAAUUAAGAUCAGCAAGUCAUAAAUCACUCUAAAUAUGAAUGCGACAUAAAUGCCAAUGGAAGAAAACCAUAUAUUUUGUUAGCAUAAGAAGCAUCUCCAAGCAUUUCCAUCAGUCGGCUAUAUGCUACGGAUAAGAAGCAUCUCCAAGCUAUAUGCUAUAUCCUCCAACCUUGCCGAAUUCUUGAGCCUUGUCUUCCAAAUGUGUGAUUGUGUCUUGUGUCUAGUAUUCCUUUUCUUCUUUCUGUGUAGCAGCCAAAGCCUUAAUGUGCCUUGUACUGUCCCUUUCUUCUAUUUUCUCUACUCCUUUGGUUGAGUUGGCAUGGUUCUAAGUAGAGGUGUCAAAAUGGGUGACUUGGGCGGGUUUGGGUUGGGUAAAAUGGGUAAUGGGUAUAAGUGAAUCAACUCAUUUAUACCCAUUUAAUUAGAUGGGUAUAAAUGGGUAAGUCAAAAAAUGAAUUGGGUAACCCAAUUACCCAUUUAUAACUCAUUUAUUUUAACUUUUUGCAAAUUCAUUUAAAUUCAUUUUUGCAAACUAAGUUAUCAAUUUAUACCACUCUUUGUACCCAUCAUUAGUUUUAAAUAUUUACUUAUAAUGUUCAAUAAACUUAAUUACCAAUUUUUUUCAUUUAUACUCUAUGUCACAAAAUUACCUAUUAUUUAAUAAUUGAAUAAUACGAAUAUAAAAAUUUGAAUUAAGUACUAUAAAAAUUAAUAUAAAACUUAAUCCAAAAAUUUUGAACCCCUAACAUUUUUUUCAUAUAUAAAUUUAAAAUUUUAUUUUAUAAAGAUAAGAAAAUAGGCUAAAAUUUAUCAUAAAUUGGUAAUGCUAAAAAAUGAGCAAAUUAACAAACUAAGAAAAAAUAAAAUAAUAAGGUAAAACCAACAAAUAAUAAUAAUAAUAAUAAUAAUAAUAAUAAUAAUAAUAAUAAUAAUAAUAAUGUUAGCAUCAUGACAAAAUGAAAAAUUUGAAAAAAAAAAAGGUGGGGGAAAAGAAGAGACUUGGGGGGAAGAGAAUUUUAAAUGGGUUAAUUGGGUUUGAUGGGUUACCCAAUAAUACCAAUUUAUUAAAUGGGUAUUAUUGGGUAACCCAUUUAUACCCAUAUGCAUAAAUUUAAGAUACCCAUACCCAUCUAUUCAUGGGCGGGUAUGGGUAAAUCUAGUUAAGUGGGUUGAUUUGCCACCUCUAGUUCUAAGGAAUUGUGUGUGGUAUACUAUUUAAAACUGUCUUAAACACUAUGGAGGAAGAACUAGCAGAAAUAAUGCAAAAAUUUGUACUUUCAAGCAAAGAGAUAGGUGGAGCUGACCUAGAUCCAGGGGAUAUAGACUCAAGAAUCAAGGAAUGUCAGGCCAACUUAGUGGAAAGAAUCAUGGGGGAUAAGAUAGUUAAUUUUGUGGGAGUUGAGAACUUUGUCAUCACAGCCUGGGACUAUCCCAAGUUAAUUUGAAGACGGUGGAACUAGGAUCUAAUUUGUUCCAAUACAACAUUCCAAAGGAAGAAGACAGGAAUCGCAUCUUAAAUGAAGGACCAUAGAUACUGGACAGCCAAAUACUGGUGCUUAGGAAAUGAUUUGCAGGAAUAGAGGAAGAUAGCUCUACAUUUAAUAUAGCUCCAUUAUGGAUACAAGCACAAAACUUGCCCGUCCAUUGGAUUUCCAAAGGAGGAAGGAACACAUUAAACUUCGUAUGAUGGCACACAUAUCUCAGACUUUAAUGAGAGGAAAAAUGGUAAAAUGAAAUAAGGUGAUUAAGUGGAUUAACUUUAAAUAUGAGCGCCGUCCGAAUUUUUGCUACAAAUGUGGAAAAUUGGACACAGCGAAAGGAAUUGCAAAACAAUGGUGGCAAUAGAGAGAGGCCAACUGGAAAACCAAUUUAGUCCCUGGAUGAGAGUUGGAGGAAGUAAUACCUCACCACAGAAGUGCCAAACCAAUAUUAGGAACACAAAUGACAGAAUUCAUUGGGGGUUCAAGAAUGAGGAAUUAGUUCCAAGCAAGGCAGUGGAGAAGGAGUUGCAAACUAUAGAGAUGCAGACUGGGAAGGAAAUGACAAAAGAAGUCAAUACAAAGGCAAGAGGCACUAUUUUUGCAAAAUUUGAGAAAGAGGUAGUUGGAAUUGCACUGUUGGAGGCAAGGGUGAAACAGCAGACUCAAUUAAUUAAGGGAAAUAGUCCAAGGGACACCCCCAAUCAAAGCAACGAUCAGGCAGAAUCAAGCAAUAUCUCUGGUGCCAGAAGCAGCAACCAUGGCGCUGGAAUAGAGGAAAUCCACCUCAAAAACAGCAACCUGGAGGUUGAUAGCCUUAAAAAAGGGUAGGAACUAUAGCAGAAUAAAGAAAGCAGCUUGAUCAGAUAGGGAAAAAUGAAUUGCAGAUAGAAAAAGAGGAAAAGAUGAAACAGGAGCAAGGAGAGGAAAUGCAGGUUGAUGAAGGAAUUUCUGAAAAGAUAAAGGUGGUAGCAUUAAAAAAAGGAAGGAGAAUGAACAAGCAAAUCAAAUCACCAACAAGAACCAGACAACCAUUAAAGGAGUUAAAUGGACAGUGUCAUAGACCAGAACACCAAUGGAAGCAAAAGGUUAGUUUGAGAAAUGAGGAAAUGAGGGAUGCUGAGAUGGAAGAUCAAGACCAGAAAAGAAAUAGAAUUACUAAGAUGUCUGUGUGUGAUGCAGGGAAAGAAGUAGGGGUAGAGGCUAGCCCAACCUGGUCUCCAAAAUCCACAUGAGAAUACUGGUGUGGAGUUCUCAAGGUGCAGGCAGCCCCUUGGCAAUUCCAUAGUUGAAGGAGGUUAACAACCUCUUCUCCCCCAAUAUGAUUAUUCUGAGUGUGACAAAAAAUAAGACAAAGUUUAUAAAAAAUUUUAAAAAAGAUUAAAUUUUAAUGAAUGUUUUGUAGUCGAAGCAAUGGAUAGAUUCGGUAGCAUGACACUUAUGUGGAACAAUGACAUAAAAAUUUAGAAAUCAUACAGUCAACAUUAACCAUUGAAGCACAUGUGUUAGACCUUGAAACACAAAUGGAUUGGUGGUUCAUAGGUAUUUAUGCAAGUUGUUUGGAUCAAGUCAAAGGAAUCAAUGGAAAGUUAUUGGAGAAAGGAAAAUGGAUCUAGGAAAACAUGUGGAUAAUAGCAGGUGCUUGUCAAUGAUAUAGUAUCCAAUGAAAAAAAUAGGGUGACAAGGUGAGAGAGCAAUAAAGCUUUAGGGAUUUUAGGAAUUUGAUUGCAGAUAAUGAGUUAAUAGAUAUAGGUUUUGAAGGAAAUCCCUGGAUAUGGUGUAAUGAUUGGGACUGGAAGGGUGAAGUAAGACAAAGGCUUCAUAGAGCUCUAUGUAGCCUACUCCGGUUUCAGACUUUUGAUAGAGCUAAAUGUGUGACAGCCCCACCUCCCCCUAAGGCGAACCAAAGGGUUCGGCGGACCACCUGCCCAACUCUCGUCGGGACUCACUACAGUCCUCAAAUAAAAUACAUCACUCACAUCCAAUAACAUAGGGUACAACCUCAAGAAUAAACGAAAUAACAUUUUUCAAACUUAGAACGAGAUAAAAUACAUUACAAAUCUCAAGUAAGGGUAUCAUUCCCCGAAUAAGACAAAACUCCUCAGUUCUCAAAUAAUUACAUCAAAUACUUAUCAAGAGAAUCGAAUUCAAAUUAUAUAUGAGAUAUCCCUUCAGGUACUAAUCACUCAAUACAAGCGCUUUCUUUGGCCUCGAGUCUUGUGGAAAAAAAUUAUUUUUGGGGGUCACUAAUUAAGUUUCAGAACUUCCACUUCCAAACCUGUUAAGGAAAACAAAUUGGGGUGAGCUAACGCUCAGUGAGGCCAAGGGAAAAACAUGCAAGCAUGCUAGCAAAGAUACAAUAUAAAGCAAUAACUCGAGUAACCAAUAACUGCGAAACAUUAAGCAAUUAGAGAAUUUAAUCACAAUAAAAGGAUACGGGAGCUCUCAGGAGCUAAUCCACGCGCGAUCCAAGCUCAGGUAGUUGACCCUCCGUCAACUUUCACAGUUAUCCAUGUAGAACUCCACUUACUACCUCCAGCCACCAUGACACCCUCUUGGAUCCGUAACCAAAAAUGCAUGUAGGUGGUAUCACUUAACAAGUAUACCUAGCAAGACCCCUUAUUUGGAUCAAGCUAUAACACUUCCCAAGAUUCACCAAGUUUCUCGACCAAGCCCUUGCCGGCUCGAGUUACAAGGCUAGCCAAUGGGUUGGGGCGUCCCCCCCAUUCACUUUUAGGUCGAUGAGACGAAACUCCAAUCGACAAGAUUUGGUCAUAGCAUUGAGACGGGAUGAGCGGUACCUCCUACCCUAAAAGGGCAUGAUACAUUCUGCCGCUCAAUGCUCACGAAAAACACUUUCAUUUGCAUUCACAUGUAACACGUAUCACUUAUUAAGCAAGCAAUUUCAUGAAAGAUAGGACAAGGGCGAUAAAGUACGCCCUAGCCUCAUUAACUAGCAAGUACAAGAAUCAUUUCAUUUAAACACUUCACAUGCACUUGAUACUCACCAAGUGUCAAAAGUCAAAGUUUGAGAAAUUAGCUCUAAGACUCUUCGCCGGGAGUUCCCUUGAAGUCCUCUUGAGAUCCUGAAAGUAUGCAAUAAUGCAUUGUAUCUCAAAUUUCAGGCCAUACAGUAUUCGUGUAAAGAAAAGAAAUUGUCAAUUUUGACUCCAAAAUUCAAGUUUCCAAAGUAUUUCAAUUCAUAAGGAACCGACUUUCAAAUGAGGUCUCAAGUGAUAGGUAAACUCAAGUUCACCAUGAAAAUAGGUUUGAAAUGCUCUAAGAGUUGUAAAAAUGUAACCUAGGCCCUUGAAAGAACAUUUAGGUCCAAAUUGGAAAUUUUCACUUUUCGAGUCAUUCUUGGAAAAAUCAGUCCGGAAGUUCGGAAAGUCUAAAAAUGGAAAAUUUUACACCGUCAAAAACUUCAUUCGAAGCAUAACAACUUUACAGAAGGUCACUUUCCAAGAAUCAAAUCAGAAACAAGUCAAUUUCUCCAAGAAAGUUUACUAUGCAUUGAAGAUAGGUCAAAACAGUCCAAGUUUUCCCAAUAAUUUUGGAAUUUCGUUAAAAAUCAUAGAAUCAAAACUAGCCUUUGAAAUUUGAUAUGCAUGUAAAUUUCCAAUCCAGGUUUCAAAUAAAAAAAAAUGGAACUCGAUUCCGAUGUUCCUUGCUCAAGAAAUAAAAAGUUUAAGUUCACUAAAAUUCCUGGACUGUUGGCCUUUCCAGAAAUUUUCCAGAUUUAAUGCACUUCGCUAAUUAGGCCGUAUCUCACUCGAUUCUCAGUGAAAUUGAAAACGGUUGGUGGAUUUAGAAACUAGGUUUACAAGGCUAUAUAUGUGUAGAAGAAAUCAUUUCCAAAAUCCAGACAUAAGUGGUUCAAAAUCAAGCAGAAAAAUGGAUUUUCUGGACAGUCUCGGAUGAACAGUAAUAAGCAGGCAGCCAACUUUCAAAACUCGCCACGAGUCGCUCGGGAUGAACUAGAAAAUGAGCUUGGUACCAUUUUAAAGCUCUAAGAGUCUACUUUCAAAUUCUGCAAAUGGCAGUCCAUUUCGAUCAACGAGCAAAACGUUAUAGCUACACAAAUGUUGCUGGUCAAAAAAUUCUGGAGCUUGUUUCAGUUUUGCUUCUUUACUUGUAACUCAAAAUUUAACCAACCAUUUGGGUUGAUUUUUGGUAGACAACCACAAUACACAUAGCACAACAUAUCUACACCAAUUUGGAAGCUCAAUUUGCACCAGAAAAUUUUCGAAAUUACAGGGCAGCAGCAAACAAGAAAGUCGGCAGCAAGUCAGAAAUUUCAGACAGUACCUUUUCCAAAUUUCUAACUUUCUUCCAACUUCAUUCCAUCAAUCAUUCUAUAUACAUGUAACAUAGCACAAUAUCAGCAACCAAAACAUGUUAAUUCAUCAAAUCAGCCACCAAUAAGCAUCCUCAAACCCUCGAGCAUGUCAUGAAAUUGCAAGAACAUAAUUACUCAACCAAUCAACCCAAAUUCUACCAUAGGUUGCAAACCCAUGCUACCUUUGCUCCAUUUGAGCUAUAAUUUUGCAAGAUUGAAGUGUGGGUGAGUGAGUUACCUCAAAAACUUAGUUGGACAGCUUUAGAACAGAAAUCUUGACCGAAAUUCCUCCAAGAAAACCGAUGAACAGCCCCCUCUUCCAAGCUAGGAACAAAGCCCUCUAAUGGAUGAUGAAAUUUGGAAGUGGAUUGAGGUAAUUUUGUAAGGAUUUUGGCUAGAUUUUUCUUCCCAUCUUCUGCCCAAUAGAGAGUGACGAGAGGAGAGAGAAUGAAAUCAGGUAUUGUAAUGAAAGUGGAGAGAAUUGGAGCCUUAAGUCUAAGUGUCAACUCAUGCUAGGUCUGUUUAGGGUUUUCGCGUGUCCAAUUUUCGCGCUCGUUUGCAACUUUUGUGCACUAAACCUCUGAGGUAAUUUCCCUAGUACAUUAAUAGAACAUUACUAGUAGUCUAAUAUCAUGUUCUUAAAAUCUCCAAUUAAUCAAAUUAAUGUGCCUGUCGGGGCCUUUUCGGCACGCGCGCGUAUAAAGGUCAAACUUAAGGGUUUUUUCGUUUGAACUUGGAAAUUCAACUUAUUCGAUUCUAAAACUCUAAAAUAUGAUAAUCCAAAUAUAUAUAUAUAACAAUAAAAAUCACGAUAAGCAAUUCAUCUUGAAUAAAUUUGGGCAUUAAAAUAAUAUACGCGUAAAGAACCAAUCGGUAAAAUUUAUUUUCGAGAAAUUCAUGUACUUUAGUAUUUUUUUUUUGGGUAACUCGAGUACGAAAUAUUUUUAAAAUGACCAAUUUAACAAUAUUUUGAAAUAAUAAAAUUAUUGGUCCUCAUAUCCUCUCCCCCUUAAGAGAAUUUCGUUCUCGAAAUUCAUACCUUAACUCAAAAACUCCAGAUGUCACUUUUGCAUCCCAUUCUUACGAAUUGUAAAACUUUUUCUGCAUUAAAUAUCAUGUAAGUCUUGUAUUCUUAAUCUGUUCACGACGAGCGAGAUAACAAUUCCUUCAUGCGGUUCACAGAUUCAAUUGCCUCAAGAAAUUUGUCAAUUCAAGAACAAAUGAUGUAAUAGCCCUUUAAAUUGGUAUACGCAAUGAACUUUAAAUAUCUCGCAGAUCAAAUUCAAUAAGAUCUUAUUAGCACACAAGUUUUGUCCUACUGGACCUUAACCCUAGUAAUCUUUCAAAAUAGAUAGUAAGAGCCCUCAAGAAUCAAUAACUUCAAAAUCAUAUCUAGUUCCGUACACAUGUAUGCAAAUAUUGAAGUACGAAUUGAAACCUUACAUUCAAUAAUAUCUUAUUGUAGUCCCCAAGUCAUUUAUGAGUAUUAUUGCCAAUUUUUAACCCAAAUACGACUUAAAGACCCAAAUCCAUUAAUGCUACUGGUGUAUUCAUUACUCCCAAUGGCAUAAUUGAAUUUCAAAGUGCUUACUUUUCUGAUGAACUAGCCUUAAUCAUAUCUUCCUCUAGAAUCCUCAAUUAGUUGUAGACCUGUAUUAAAUCUAACUUGGAAAGUACUACUGUCUCUUGUAGAUACCCAAAUGAUUCAUUUAUGCAAGGUAAAAGAUAUUUAUUCCUGAUACCCACUUGAUUCCAGUCUCGAUAUUAUAGACAUGGCUUUCUCAAAAGGUUAUAAGCAUAACAAAAUUUAGAUAUACGAAUAAGUCAUGAAAUUGAUUAAAUGCAAAGUAAACUUUCAUUUGCUAUAAAAGACCAUAAUAGUUUCAUAAAGUUAGGAUAAGUUUAUCAAAUCAUUUCAAAAGAAAAGAGAAUAAACAAUAUUGUAGCAAAACAUGCUAAGUCAUCCAUGUUCAAAGCAACAAAAGAUUUCAUCCCUUACACAAAAGAUUACAACCUUCAAAAGUCUCAGCAUAGGCUAGGUUAUAAUCAUAAUUCCUGUCCUUAAGCAAAAUCAAAUCCAUCUUCACUCGUAGAGCUUCUAAUACUUUGGUUCUUCUCACAACCAUUAGUAUUAACAACUCCCUCUAACACUCGACUGUUUUGCAGCAGACUUAACGAGCUGCUGAGGAGUUCAUCGGGCAACUUAAAACUUAAUGCUCAGGACUCCCGCAUAGCAAGCAUUUGCUUGUUUCCUUCAGCCCAUAAUCUCAGUGUGAUUAAACUUGCCACAGUAUCCACAAGUUACGGCCUGAUUAGCUUGAGAAUUCUCCUUUUUCUUUUUCUUCUUUUCUCUCUGCUCCACAACAAAUUCAUGUUCACAUCUCUCUUUACGUUUCCCUUUUUUCAUUAUGGGAGUUUCCUUCACUACCCUUAACUUGGUUGCUAGAAAUAUACUGAGGUGAAACUUGAAUAGUGGGUCGCAUCCCCUCAAGUUUUUUUUUCUUUCCUGAAGUUCCUCCAAUACUCCUUCGUAUUUCUUUUUCAUUUCCAAUUUCUUGUUCCAUAAUUCCAUCUUCUCUACAAACUCUUGUUUGCAUCGUUCUUCCCAGAAUUCAACCAAUUUAGUCUGAAAUUCCAACUCCUUGCGAAGAACUUUUAUUUCUAUACGCAUCUCUUCCAAACUUUUCAUUUCAUCCAUUUGCUUAAUCCUAACUGUCAGCCUAUCAACAACUCAAAGCAUCUAAAUGAGUACCAAAUCAAAAUUUAAAACUUAACUAUCCACAACCUAUAAAUUCUCACGCAUCUAAGUCAUCCAGGUAUAUUUACUCUUACCUCUCCACGAAUUUGAUACGUAAGAAAAUUCACACCUACAAAUAAAGUAAUACCCCUUGAUAUAAUGAUAUGUACUUCCGUUCUAAGGUCUUACUCACGUAUGUAGUGAAACCAUAAAUUACACGCCAUAAGAAACAAGUUCCAAACCUUGACUAAAAACUGUUACGCACUAAUAAGACCAGAAUCCUUUUCCUCAAAAGUUUGUCUAAAUCAAAUCAAUCAUGACCUACAAGAUAAAGUCGAGACUUUUGAUAUAUUUUGAAUGUAUCUGUGGCAAAAUGCGAUUCAAAAUUUUCAAAAUUAUAGUUAAAGAUACAAAUUUUCUUCAUGAUCCAAAACUAAAUUUUCUUAGUAAGAGAUUUCAAAUAAUGUUUAACCACAAUCAUCAAUACAUAUUUCAAAUCUCUCAAAUAGAUUUAAGAAGAUUAAUCAUGCAACUUAAUGCAUGAAUUUUAAAACAUAUAUAUAAUAAUCAUAACAUAUACAUGGAGGGUGUUCCAACACUUUUCCUCAAAGUUUCGAGUUAAAUCUAUGUUCGGGUAAAGCGUAUAUUUUAGAAAAUACCUUUAAGAAAGAUAAAUAGACAUGUAGGUUCAUAUUCGCAUAACCUGUGAUCCAACACCUUUACCACCCUUUUAUAUCCAAACCAAGAGCUAACUCUACUAGUACAUAAAACCCGAUCAUUUCUAAUCUCUGAUUCAUAACAAAUAGGCAUUCAUGUUCCUAAGAAAAGAUUCGAACUUGAACUCUAUCUGAUUUCGAUUCUCAAACGAGUUCAAAAUGUGUAUACAUAUAUAUAUAUAUAUAUAUAUAAAUUUUGUGAAAAAGUAAAACAAGUGAAUCUGGGUAUAGUAAUUGUCAAGUAAAAUUGAAAGCGCUUUUGUUCAAGUAGAAUAAAUAGGUAAUGAGUUCAAAUCAUCUCACCAAACCAACGAAAUACUUUCGGAGUUCAAACUUCAUAAAAGUUGAAAGAUGGCCAUAGGACCACUCAUAAUAUACGUAUAAAGCAACUAUUAAAAUUUUGCACAAGAAAAUCUCAUCAAGUUCCCAACUAGGUUAAUCCAUUAUACACUGGUAGAUCUAAUCUUCUGGUUUAUUCUCGAUUCAUAUUCAGUACUAGGGUCUCAUUAAAUUAUAUAAGACUAUCCAUCAAUUUUGUCAUGAGUACAGGGUUGUCUAAACCCUGGGCCACGACCCCUUUUUCCCAUUCCUGCUGCUAUACUUAAUAGAAGUCUAUAAGCACAAGAAAAGGAAUAAUUAAGCAUAAAAGAACUUAAUGCAUAUACAAGUUGCAAAAAUAUUUAGAAUCAAAACAUGCUUCUUUACAUGUAUCAAAAGUUAUAGCAUGAGUUAGAAGUCACAAAACAAGCCCAAUAUGUCAAAUACUGCAUAUAGGCAAUUAAGUGCCACAAAAUAUAGAAGUAUAUGCAAGCAGGAUACAAAAGGCCUCACGGCGUGCACCACCCUUCCUAAGUCCUUAGUUAAACCAAAGGAUCCAAAUAUCACUAAUUUCAAUUAGAUCACAUGCCUUUCCGAAAUUAGAUCCAAUCAAACCAUAACACAAGCUGAAACCAAAGGUUAUCCAUUCGAAAUUCAAAAUCUUUAAUAAGCAAGCCACCAGCCAGAGUACCAUCAUCUCCAAGAAUAACCAGUCUUAGGGUUUUAUAGUUAAAGCCUCAAGCUCCAAGUUCAAACCCAAGAAAUAAGUACAACUUGCUAACUUACGUGUCAAAUGGAAACCAAGUCAAUUCACACUAACUUCGUGCUCUUGAAUGCGGUUAUUCUAUAUUUCAAAGUUCCUUCAGCCCGUACACCUAAAGAUAGGCUCACUCUUCUUGAAAACCAAGAAUUUUAAAACAUAAGAAGAGUAAUCAAAGUAACCAAAAAUCUUAUCAAGUUCAAGAUUUACAUUAUAAAAACAUAAGUUCGCCAUUCUUCCGAAAACUCAAGAUUUUUUUUUUUUGUAAAGCAUAGACAAAUUCAGGUGUGAGAAUACACCAGUAUACAAUCAAGGGGAAAAACUUAGUUUAGAAAAUUUUAAUCUUGUAUCAGCCCAUCAUAUACAAAAUUCAACAAACUCAUCAGUUAUUCACAAAUUUUCAGAUUGAAAUUCAAGUAAAAUUCACAUAUUUACCAAAAUCAGAAAAUUAUACAUACUUAAAGUAUAUAUAUAUUAUUUCCAAUCAUCGUUUGAAAAUAAAACUAGUACAUCCUCGUUUUUCUUUAGAAUUUCAAAGCAGAAAUUCUCUAGGAGGUAAAUGGGCGGGAAAAUGCAUUUUAUUCCUUUGAAACUCUUUUAUCUUGGUUCAAAAUCACCAUACAUGGAGUUUGAUCAUCAAAUCCCGGUCUCUUAUCCUCUAUAGCCAGUACUAAUAAUUGUCUCAAUUCUUUCCAUACUUACAAGUAUAAUAAUAAUUCAAAUUCAUCCAAUCUUUCACUACUAAUCCUCAUCCCAUAUUUUCCAUCAAUAUAACAUCACCUAAUUCCUCAAUUUUUUUUUUAUUUCUACAAGUCCCAAGUAAGAAACUCUCAAAUAAUCAAUUUCUGUAACCCCUAGGAUACAAUAGGUACUCAUUCACAUAAUAUUCAAAUUACUCCCACAGUCAGGCAUCCAAAACUUUAAGUCUAGGAUACACUACGAGAUCUAGGGCCUGGGCUCUGAUACCAACUGUGACAGCCCCACCUCCCCCUAAGGCGAACCAAAGGGUUCGGCGGACCACCUGCCCAACUCUCGCCGGGACUCACUACAGUCCUCAACUAAAAUACAUCACUCACAUCCAAUAACAUAGGGCACAACCUCAAGAAUAAACGAAAUAACAUUUUUCAAACUUAGAACGAGAUAAGAUACAUUACAAAUCUCAAGUAAGGGUAUCAUUCCCCGAAUAAAAUAAAAGUCCUCAGUUCUCAAAUAAUUACAUCAAAUACUUAUCAAGAGAAUCGAAUUCAAAUUAUAUAUGAGAUAUCCUUUCAGGCACUAAUCACUCAAUACAAGCGCUUUCUUUGGCCUCGAGCCUUGUGGGAAAAAAUUAUUUUUGGGGGUCACUAAUUAAGUCUCAGAACUUCCACUUCCAAACCUGUUAAGG
rnacentral:lncRNA from 1 species